AUAGCAUAGAAUGGGCUAACAACUGGUCACCGUACGAAGUCGAAAACACCCUUACUCGAGAUCGCGCGGGAAGAAGUUUAUUUCCUCGCCCCUUUUUCUUUUUCUGCCGCUCACUCCAUCCAUUUCACUUUCUCUGCAAAUUUUCACACACACAACAAUGGGUAUCAAGGGUUUAACGAAGCUUUUAGCUGACAAUGCCCCAGCAUCCAUGAAGGAGAACAAAUUUGAAAGCUACUUUGGGCGCAAGAUUGCUGUUGAUGCCAGUAUGAGCAUUUACCAGUUUCUUAUUGUUGUGGGAAGAAGUGGAGCUGAAAUGCUUACUAAUGAAGCUGGAGAAGUUACUAGUCAUUUGCAAGGAAUGUUUUCGCGGACAAUCAGACUUCUAGAAGCCGGGAUGAAGCCAGUAUAUGUUUUUGAUGGGAAGCCACCUGAGAUGAAGAAUCAAGAGCUGAAAAAACGUCUCUCUAAGAGAGCUGAGGCUCAAGAGGGUUUGUCGGAAGCCAUAGAGGCUGACAAUAAGGAAGAUAUUGAAAAAUUCAGUAAACGGACUGUGAAGGUGACAAAGCAACAUAAUGAUGACUGCAAAAAACUUUUAAGACUCAUGGGAGUGCCUGUUGUUGAGGCACCCUCAGAAGCAGAGGCUCAGUGUGCUGCUCUUUGCAAAGCUGGAAAGGUGUAUGCUGUGGCUUCUGAAGAUAUGGAUUCCUUAACGUUUGGAGCUCCUAAAUUUCUUCGCCAUCUAAUGGAUCCUAGCUCAAAGAAGGUUCCAGUAAUGGAAUUUGACAUUGCAAAGAUUUUGGAGGGGCUAGAUCUGACCAUGGACCAAUUUAUUGACUUGUGUAUUCUUUCUGGAUGUGACUACUGUGACAACAUUCGAGGUAUUGGGGGCCUAACAGCGUUGAAGCUCAUACGCCAACACGGCUCUAUUGAAACCAUACUGGAAAACCUAAGCAAAGAGAGGUACCAGAUACCAGAGGAUUGGCCAUAUCAGGAGGCUCGACAACUUUUUAAAGAACCAUUGGUCUCAACUGAUGAUGAAGAACUUAAUCUUAAGUGGUCUCCUCCAGAUGAAGAAGGGUUAAUAACAUUUCUAGUAAAUGAGAAUGGGUUCAGCAGUGACAGGGUGACAAGGGCAAUAGAGAAAAUUAAAGCGGCAAAGAACAAGUCAUCACAAGGCCGAUUGGAAUCAUUUUUUAAGCCAACUGCAAAUCCAUCUGUACCUAUCAAACGGAAGGAAAGCAAAUGCGUGCUUAGGUCUUUCAAACCAGCAAUUGAUCAUAAGAUGUCCUCUCUGCGGAUUUCUAACUGGUCAAGGCCCAUGGUUUUCGGCAAGUUGAGAAUGCCGAUCUAUAAUCUGGGUUCCGAGCUUUCUGUCCCAUUGUCUAGAGGUGUCUGCUUUGGUGCCUGAAGCUGAAUAGCACUGGAAACACCAGGGAAUGAUGCUAAAGGGGCUAACAAGAAAACUAAGGCCAGUGGCGGUAAGAAGAAAAAAUAGUUGGUUCUGUAUCUUAAACUGGCAGAGUUAUUUACAUGUUGAUCAGUUGGAAUGAAGGAGGAUCUAUUCGUAUUAGUGAUGCGAAUUCUUCCAAGUUGUAAAAUAUUUAUGUGAAAUCGAUUUGGGGAAUUUGACUAAUUUUUGUUAUAGAAUUCUAGUCUUUAAUAGCUUAAGAUACAGUGCUUCAUUUGGUAGAGAUUUCUUAGUUCUCCCCUUUUUUGGGUUAAUUUGACUUGCAUUUUCCCCCCUAAUGCACUGCUUCACUAUCUCACUA